GGGGGUGUAGGCUUAACAGGCAAACCGCAGGUCUCCAAAACCUGUUUGCGAGUUCGAACCUCGUCAUCCCCG
rfam:Candidatus Woesebacteria bacterium RBG_13_36_22 RBG_13_scaffold_283, whole genome shotgun sequence.